rnacentral:rRNA from 1 species
UACAGAGACUGCAAGCGUUAUUCGUAUUCACUGGGCGUAAAGGGUGCGCAGGCGGCCGUGUGUGUCAGGUGUGAAAGCCCGGGGCUUAACCCCGGAAUUGCGCCUGAAACUACAUGGCUAGAGCAUUGGAGAGGGUAGCGGAAUUCACGGUGUAGCAGUGAAAUGCGCAGAUAUCGUGAGGAACACCAGAGGCGAAGGCGGCGAUCUGGGUAGAUACUGACGCUGAGGUGCGAAAGCGUGGGGAGCAAACAGG